rnacentral:rRNA from 1 species
AUUGAACGCUGGCGGCAGGCCUAACACAUGCAAGUCGAGCGGAUGAAGGGAGCUUGCUCCUGGAUUCAGCGGCGGACGGGUGAGUAAUGCCUAGGAAUCUGCCUGGUAGUGGGGGAUAACGUCCGGAAACGGGCGCUAAUACCGCAUACGUCCUGAGGGAGAAAGUGGGGGAUCUUCGGACCUCACGCUAUCAGAUGAGCCUAGGUCGGAUUAGCUAGUUGGUGGGGUAAGGCCUACCAAGGCGACGAUCCGUAACUGGUCUGAGAGGAUGAUCAGUCACACUGGAACUGAGACACGGUCCAGACUCCUACGGGAGGCAGCAGUGGGGAAUAUUGGACAAAGGGCGAAAGCCUGAUCCAGCCAUGCCGCGUGUGUGAAGAAGGUCUUCGGAUUGUAAAGCACUUUAAGUUGGGAGGAAGGGCAGUAAGUUAAUACCUUGCUGUUUUGACGUUACCAACAGAAUAAGCACCGGCUAACUUCGUG